rnacentral:rRNA from 1 species
UACGUAGGGUGCGAGCGUUGUCCGGAAUUACUGGGCGUAAAGAGCUCGUAGGUGGUUUGUCGCGUUGUUCGUGAAAACCGGGGGCUUAACCCUCGGCGUGCGGGCGAUACGGGCAGACUGGAGUACUGCAGGGGAGACUGGAAUUCCUGGUGUAGCGGUGGAAUGCGCAGAUAUCAGGAGGAACACCGGUGGCGGAGGCGGGUCUCUGGGCAGUAACCGACGCUGAGGAGCGAAAGCGUGGGGAGCGAACAGG